GGAGGGGAGAGCUCAGUGGUAGGGCUUGUGCUUAGCAUGCAUGAGGUCCUGGGUUCAGUCCCCAGUACUUCCG
rnacentral:tRNA from 1 species